rnacentral:rRNA from 1 species
CCAACAGGGAUUGCCUCAGUAACGGCGAGUGAAGCGGCAACAGCUCAAAUUUGAAAUCUGGCCCCAGGCCCGAGUUGUAAUUUGCAGAGGAUGCUUCUGGUUAGGUGCCUUCCAAGUCCCCUGGAACGGGGCGCCGAAGAGGGUGAGAGCCCCGUCCGGUCGGCCACCAAGCCUGUGUGAAGCUCCUUCGACGAGUCGAGUAGUUUGGGAAUGCUGCUCUAAACGGGAGGUAGACCCCUUCUAAAGCUAAAUACCGGCCAGAGACCGAUAGCGCACAAGUAGAGUGAUCGAAAGAUGAAAAGCACUUUGAAAAGAGGGUUAAAAAGUACGUGAAAUUGUUGAAAGGGAAGCGCUUGUGACCAGACGUGUGCCGGGGUGUUCAGCGGGCGUUCUCGCCCGUGCACUCGCCCCGGUACAGGCCAGCGUCGGUUCGCGCGGGGGGACAAAGGCGCUGGGAACGUGGCUCCUCCGGGAGUGUUAUAGCCCAGCGUGCCAUGCCCCCGCGCGGACCGAGGUUCGCGCUCCGCAAGGACGCUGGCGUAAUGGUCUCCAGCGGCCCGUCUUGAAACACGGACCAAGGAGUCGAGGUUUUGCGCGAGUGUUUGGGUGUCAAACCCGCACGCGUAAUGAAAGUGAACGCAGGUGGGAGCUUCGGCGCACCACCGACCGAUCCUGAUGUUCUCGGAUGGAUUUGAGUAGGAGCGUAGGGCCUCGGACCCGAAAGAUGGUGAACUAUACGUGGAUAGGGUGAAGCCAGAGGAAACUCUGGUGGAGGCUCGCAGCGGUUCUGACGUGCAAAUCGAUCGUCAAAUCUGCGUAUGGGGGCGAAAGACUAAUCGAACCAU